AUUUUCUGCUGGAGAGGUUUUUAGAGAGAGAGAGAGAGUCCAUCUAGAGAGAGAAAGUGCGUAAUUGAAGAAGUAGUUGUAGAUUUUUGCUAGAGGAGCCAAGAUUAUGCAAGAAUAGGUGUAAUUCAAGGCUCUAGGUCAAUAUUCGAAGAUCGAUCAGUCAUUUUUGGAAGUCUACGGUGAUCGAGCGGUAGAUCAGGCCUAAGGGCUUUUGUCUGGAUCUGAUUUGUCAAGCCAACCUUUGUGCCUCACGUAGAGGUUUCAAAAAUGUUUUGCGAUCAAGACUUUGUGAUUAUGACUUAAGUCUCUAUUUUAUUCUGUUAAGAUGAACAAGUUUUAUUUUGUAAAUAAGACUAAAUCCCCUUUGACUUUUCUCUAUUAUAUGAUGAUGUAAAGAUGACGUCAUGAUAUAUGUACAUAUAAGUUUAAAAAAAUUUCUGUCUCAUAUAAGUCUGCACAACUCAUUGAACGAUGUUUGUUUUUAUAUUUGUUUUUGC